GAUGGACGCUGGCGGCGUGCCUAAUACAUGCAAGUCGAGCGAACGGACGAGAAGCUUGCUUUUCUGAUGUUAGCGGCGGACGGGUGAGUAACACGUGGAUAACCUACCUAUAAGACUGGGAUAACUUCGGGAAACCGGAGCUAAUACCGGAUAAUAUUUUGAACCGCAUGGUUCAAAAGUGAAAGACGGUCUUGCUGUCACUUAUAGAUGGAUCCGCGCUGCAUUAGCUAGUUGGUAAGGUAACGGCUUACCAAGGCAACGAUGCAUAGCCGACCUGAGAGGGUGAUCGGCCACACUGGAACUGAGACACGGUCCAGACUCCUACGGGAGGCAGCAGUAGGGAAUCUUCCGCAAUGGGCGAAAGCCUGACGGAGCAACGCCGCGUGAGUGAUGAAGGUCUUCGGAUCGUAAAACUCUGUUAUUAGGGAAGAACAUAUGUGUAAGUAACUGUGCACAUCUUGACGGUACCUGAUCAGAAAGCCACGGCUAACUACGU
rnacentral:rRNA from 1 species